rnacentral:rRNA from 1 species
UGCAAGUCGAACGAGAAGCCCGAUUUCGAUUGGGUGGAGAGUGGCGAACGGGUGAGUAACACGUAACGGACCUGCCCCAGAGAGUGGGACAACAGGUGGAAACACGCGCUAAUACCACAUAAGCUCACGUGCUUUAGAAAAGCGUGAGAAAAAGCUGAGGUGCUUUGGGAGGGCGUUGCGGUCCAUCAGCUAGUUGGUGAGGUAGCGGCUCACCAAGGCGACGACGGAUAGGGGACCUGAGAGGGUGACCCCCCACACUGGGACUGAGACACGGCCCAGACUCCUACGGGAGGCAGCAGUGAGGAAUAUUGCCCAAUGGACGCAAGUCUGAGGCAGCGACGCCGCGUGGGUGAAGAAGGUUUUCGAAUCGUAAAGCCCUUUUCUAGGUGACGAGAACGGACGGUAGCCUAGGAAAAAGUGUCGGCUAACUACGUGCCAGCAGCCGCGGUAAAACGUAGGACGCAAGCGUUAUCCGGAGUUACUGGGCGUAAAGCGCGUGCAGGCGGUUGGGUAAGUUACCUAUGAAAGCUUCCGGCUAAACUGGAAGAGGCUAGGUGAAACUGCCGAACUAGAGAGUGAGAGAGGGAUGUGGAAUUCCAGGUGUAGUGGUGAAAUGCGUAGAGAUCUGGAGGAACACCAGUGGCGAAGGCGACAUCCUGGCUCACCACUGACGCUGAGACGCGAAAGCGUGGGUAGCGAACGGGAUUAGAAACCCCGGUAGUCCACGCCGUAAACGAUGCACACUAGACGUUCGGUUUCCUACGGGGGAUUGAGUGUCGGAGCUAACGCGGUAAGUGUGCCGCCUGGGGAGUACGGUCGCA